rnacentral:pre_miRNA from 1 species
GCGGUUUGUUUUAGAAUGCUUACGCUUUACCGUGAUUUUUUUCUAAGUGGCAAAGCGUUUGAAUUCUGGAACGAAACGU